rnacentral:rRNA from 1 species
ACGAACGCUGGCGGCCUGCUUAACACAUGCCCGUCGAACGGAAAGGCCCUGCUUUUGUGGGGUGCUCGAGUGGCGAACGGGUGAGUAACACGUGAGUAACCUGCCCUUGACUUUGGGAUAACUUAAGGAAACUGGGGCUAAUACCGGAUAGGAGAUCCUGCUGCAUGGUGGGGGUUGGAAAGUUUCGGCGGUUGGGGAUGGACUCGCGGCUUAUCAGCUUGUUGGUGGGGUAGUGGCUUACCAAGGCUUUGACGGGUAGCCGGCCUGAGAGGGUGACCGGCCACAUUGGGACUGAGAUACGGCCCAGACUCCUACGGGAGGCAGCAGUGGGGAAUAUUGCACAAUGGGCGGAAGCCUGAUGCAGCAACGCCGCGUGCGGGAUGACGGCCUUCGGGUUGUAAACCGCUUUCGCCUGUGACGAAGCGUGAGUGACGGUAAUGGGUAAAGAAGCACCGGCUAACUACGUG